rnacentral:lncRNA from 1 species
UUUUUUUCCCCCUGUCUCACUGUUACAGCAUAAUUUGACCAGUGAGAUCCCUAGGCUCUCUCCUGUCACUGACUUUAGCUGGGUUUUUGGAAGGAUUCUCUGAAUAGGCAAUGUUUGAUGUAAGAUCUGAAUGUAUAGAAGGGGCUAGACAAGUGACCUUCUCGGGGCAGAAGGGUUCCAGGCAAAGGGAGUAGCAGUGCCGUGGUUCCUGGGAUGGAGGGAACUUAGCCAGUUCAGGAACAGAAAUAAGGCCCAGAGAAUAACUUGUGUGGUGGGGAGGGGAAAGAGUGAGAGGGAACAGGUCUGUGCUCUAGGCCCUUAAGCCCAUAGGACACAUCACACACCCACUUGGAUGUCUCUCAGGCACUUUAAACUCAACACUUCAGAUCCAAAGCUGAAUUCAUGGCCUUCUCCCAGAUCCAUUUCCCAUCUCAGUCAAUGAUACCACCAUCUAUCCACACGCAAGCCAGAAAGCAGUAUCUCAUCCUUAACUUCUCAACCCCACUAACUAUCUGUCUGCAGGUCUUGCCAGUGCCAACUCAUUUCUUUUCAUUUGUUCACUGAGUUCACCCCAGCAGAAGCCACUAUCCUCUCUCUCUCUCUCUUUUUUUUUUAUAUUUAUUUUUUAGUUUUCGGUGGACACAACAUCUUUGUUUGUAUGUGGUACUGAGGAUGGAACCCGGGCUGCACGCAUGCCAGGCGA